GGCUCUCUCGCGAGGGGGGCGGAGCCUGAUCGCUGACUGACUGCUGCGGCAGCCAAUGAGUCCUCGAGCUGAGGAGGAAGGGCGGGCUGUGGCGGCAGAAGGGCCUGUGGCGGCGCGCGGCGGAGGGCUGGGGGUGUUUGUGAGAGGAGCGGGGCUGCCUGGAGCUGAUCGUGCCGUUGCUGUCUGCCCGCCUCACACCCUCUGUGGAAGCGCGGUGUCUGUGGUGAUGGAGGCAUAGCUGGGCCUGCAGCGUUCUGAGGCGGGUGAUAAGAAGGCUCUGGUGUCACAGCUGCAGUACCCAUCGUAGCUGUACUGCCCUGCGUGACUGGUAAUGGAGGGCUGAACUGGUACAAGGGGGGCUGGGCGGCCUGUGGAGAUUCUGUUGUGUGGGGGUGGGCAUUCAGUCUGUGAAUAAAGCUGGUUUGGGGUUUGGCAGCCCUCGUCUCAGUGUGCUUCAAUUAGCACCAAACUCAUCACUUUUGAGGUAACUUCCAGGUGUGAUGAGAAGCACUGACAGGAAAAGCUGGUGCUGGUUCUGUUUUCCCCACUGAAGCCUUCAGCCAUGCACGUGAAUAUUGGCUUUUUAAGUAACUUUAAUUUUGUUCUCGCUUUUGGUGUAGGGUAAAGCUUGGAACGGAAAGAAUGCCAAAUUUGCAGCUUUUAAGCUGAAAAGGUUUAAAUGAAGAUUGGAAAGGAUCUCAAUGCACUGAGAACAAGAGGAGGAAAUGAAGAUGGAGAGAGAAUACAGGAGUCACUGCAUCUACACAUAGUUUGUGUUUGUGUUGAGCUUUAAGCUAUAAAGGGGCAGACUUACCAGUAGGUUAUCGUAGAUGUAGCUUAAUUCAUUAAAGUAGGCUAAUUAAGCAAAAAAAAAAAAAAUAGAAUGGAAAUUUGGUUGUGAGGUUAUGACUGUCGUGUUAGCUAGUUUAAUGUGGUGACAUCAAGGUAAGUCAGUGUACACCCGUAUGUAAUUUCAUACAUUACGCUGAGGCUUUUGAUUUCUGAAGUUGAAUCACAGCUGCAUUAAACCCACUUGUAGUCUGACUGGAAAGCAUCCACAGGUGAAUUGAAUUGAUACUUCCUUAAAACCAUCUGGAAAUUAUCUGUUUUGUAAUUCAGAGGAAAGCGUAACUAAAAAAAAACAGGAAGGAAAUGAGAUCUAUUUUGAAGAUUGCAUUUAUAAAACCAGGUAGGUUGUUUUGUAUGGACACAUAUUUAUGAAUAAGCAGACCGUUCUUGCAACAUUUGUCCAGUUUACAGAAUCAUCAGAAGGUUUGGAAAACAAAGCCUUGAUGUGCUACUGUAUUUUUUUCCCUCCCCCUACAUAAUACAGAAAAUAAGAAUGCUUUUAAAGAGAAAGAAAGCUCAUUGAAGACUGUAGACCCCGUUCUCCCUGUGCUAUCAGAAGGUUAUUUUGGCUUCUGUUGUGCAGGCAGCAGCCCCGUUGCUGUGCUCAUGGGGAGGAUUGUGCUCCUCUCUGAGGUGCUGAAGCCAGAAGGCUGCCAGGGGGUCCUGGAGAUCCCCACAUACCCCCCGGUGUGCCUGGUGUCCCUGCUACACAAGUCAAAACUACACCCACAGUGAUUUGAGUGUGGGAAGACUGUAGUUCACGUGGGUGUGUUUGAUGAGGGGUUUAAGUGGCAAUCAGUUGUGGCCAUUGGACUCUUGGUUAACGUGUUUAAAAAAGGGAGAGUGUAAUCAGUCUUUACACCAGCACAGAGGCAUGGCUUGUGAGAAAGAUACAUGUGAAUUUUGUGACAUUAAUGCUUAAUGGUAGGCCACUGCAUUCUGGAAAUUCUUUGAAAGACUUUGGUAUAUCUGAAGAUGAGCGUGUGUGCAGUCCACACUGCAAUGCUUCCUGGAUGAUACUUUAUUUGUGUAAGCCUUAUUUUGUGAAAGUUUUGCCUUUAAAUCUGGACUAUUGCAAAGAGGUGCCACUUGGACUCGUUGGUCUUUAUUGUUGUGCAUCCAAUAUGAAAUUCAAAAGGGUAACACUCUAAAAACAGGAGAAAACAGGAGCACAUUGUCUGAGAAUGAUGGUGCUUCACCAUUUUUAUGCAUGAUUAGAAUCUAGAAUUCACAGAACAUGCUUAGCCAUAAGAAGCUGUCCAAGAGAACUAAUGUGAGUGAAUUCAGUUUGUUAGAAAGAUUCUUCCUGCUUGCUUGCAUGAGAUUGGAAGUUUAAGGUGAUUAUCUUGAAGAGGUGAUAAUAAAGGUUGCUGAUGAUCGUAAGUGUGAAACAGGAGGACGCAGCAGUUUAGCUGUUGGCAGAAAUAAUGCAUUCGUGACUCCAAAUAGUUGGCUGUGCCAGAAGAUUCUCCUUGAAAUUAAUUUCCAUUCCACCACACGCUCUCGCUGGGAUUUGAUAACAUCCUCCAUUCAGGACUGCACAAGAGAAGUCUGAAAUCAAGCUGUGAUGAAAAGGAACGAACUGAUUGGUCUCUGCAAGCUCCGAGCCAUGGAGAUAGUGUUAGAAAGUGUCAUGAUGACGUGAAGGGUUGAAAGCCAAUCAAAUGGAGUGUGAGGGAUCUGCCAAACUGCUAUUUCAGAUGACAGAGCCGGCUAAAGAAACGAUGUAUUUUUAUCCUGGGAGACAACAAUUCAGAUUAGGGGAAAAUAAAUGUGAAGUUUGAAAUCAGAUUUUCUUGGCACGGCACUUCAGGAGUGCUUGCACAUUACACAUGUGAUGAUAUUGUCUCUAUAAUAAGUACCAUGGUUAUGCAAUAUGUUAACAUAUUAUAAUAUGAGAAAUACAAUCCAUUAAUUUAUUAUGCACAUUUAAUCAUUUUAUCUUCGUGUCUGUUCUGUUAUUCCCACACAUCUGCAUUUUAACGUCACUUCUUCAUUUUUUUGUUUAGUGCUCAGGUAACUCGCAUUGUUUUAAAAGUUCUUGAUUUUCUGCCUGUUUUUUCCUUUUGCUUUCCUCUUUUCUAGAUCUUCAGAUGAAAAUCCCAUGCAGUUUUACUUAGGUUAUCUAUCUUUUGUUUUUAAAAAAUGCACCAGAAAUGCAGCAACAAAGCACAGAUCCUUGAAGGCUAUGAAUUCGCUGUUCCACUGCAGAUGUUACCGUUCUGCUCGGCUACCACAAGAGGGACGUAGAAGGAAAGCUAAGAUAGCCGGGGAGAAGAAAAACAAAUCGAAAGAACAGCUUCAUGCAGGUUCUUAGCAACAUACAUUUUGCUUUUGUUUAGAAGGAUCUUCUGGGAUCGUAACAUUUCUAUAGUUUCCUCCACCUCUAAUAAUCUUUAAAAGCUUUAUAGACCUUAGAAAAUGUGUUAAUAAGCAUUAAUAGCUAAAAUGGAUCUUUUCCCAGAACUCCAUAAUCUUUCCUCAGCGUUUUCCUGCUGGAAUGUCUGUAGCAGUGUUGGGACAGGGUGUGGUUGGGCUGGCUGUGUUUUUGUUCCAUCUCUAGCUAUUGGACAACAAAUACUGCAGAGUUUAAUAGGCAUAUGGGCAAGAAGGUUAGGGAGCUAUUUUUGUUUAUUUCUGUUUAAUUUUCACAAAUUAAUGGGUGAUGAUGCACAUGUCCUAAGAUCAGAGCUCAUAUAAAUGCCUUCACGAAACAAGAGGACCAUAAAAACCUUUUAAGUAAAUAUUGAAGGAUUUAUUGGACUAUUGUGGCAUUAAAAAGCACAGUCCUAGCACGCAGUAGAUUGAAAGUAAUGCACAUGUAUAUUUUAGGAUCUGCAUCGUAUUAAUGCCUGAUGUCAGUAAAGCUUUACUUCAGCCAUUGUGAGGCAGAGGCAUAACUAGCUGGGCAUGUGGCUUCAUCUGAGCAGUAAUACUGGAAGAAAGGGCUGUUCUGAAUAAAAUUAUAAUAAUUUUAUGAACUUUAGUCCUUAAUGCUUAAAUUUGUAUAACAAGUAUUUUAACAUCACAUUAGAAGAUCUCUGUCAAGUGAUACUAGAUUGAACAGUCCUUUUUAAAAAGCCCUUUAAUCCAUGAAAAUGCUUUCACAAGCUGAAAGCACAUCAGAGAAGUAUUAUUGUAUGAAUGUAAAAAUUUCUCUAAGGUGCCAGGAAUCUGAGUGCACCAGUAAAUGCAACCCAGCUUUGAUUUCAAGAGUACAAAUAACGUGGUAUUGAAAACUCACAGAAAAGGGUUAUCACUCAUUGCCAGUGGAAUCUGAAUACUUUUAUCCUUUAGCAAAGUGUGUAAUGUUUCUGUUUCGACCGAUUUGCAGCUUCAGCUGCACUGUGGUUGUAAAAAAAAGUAUUCCUGAAGCAAACGGGAUGAGUACUUUAAAGCAAUGGAGGAAAAGGAGGAGAAGAUCUUGACAUUUCUUCAGUGAUGGAGAAGAUACUUAGAUAUUAAGGUGAUGAAUGACAUAUGAAGAUAAUAGCAGUAUAUGAAACUAGCUAUAAACUCUGUGCUACAAACCAGUUUUCCUUCCCUGUCUAAGCUAAGUGGGUAGUAAAAAGCUAAUAAACCAUGAAAAUGUAAUUUGAUGUUGAAGUACUACUUAAAAAUCCUUUAGCUCGGUAGAAAAUUAGAAAUCCUUCCCCCCAAAAUGUAUUAAAGUGCCUUUUACCUCUUGUUCCUUGUAAAUAGCUGAAGUGUGUGGUCAUCCUAAACAAUGCCACGUUAGCACUGAAUCUGACUUCAGUGAACGUAUGGAGGGGAAAAAUCUUUUUAAAAACAGAGCUUCUGGGUUUUUUUAUUGCAGUUUUUGCUUGCAAAAGUACUGGGUGAAAUGAGCCACUUCUCUUUAACUGGCCACAGAUGUCAGAUUGCUCACAAAAAAGCAUGGUUUUUAAAAUCCAAGGAAAAUAGCUGGAAAUAGUAGAUAUAUUCCUGAAGAUAUUUGAGAGUUACUUAUUAAGUUUGCCUUUUGUAGGAGUUCUGGAAGAAGCAGACUCGUUAAAAAUAUUCUGUUUCUAAAAGGGCAUCAUCUUUUCUUGAAGUGGGAUUUCUUCAAACCAGAUGUUGUUGUAUCUCAGCUUAAAAACAAAUUUUGAAUCUCUUGAUUAACUACAAAGAGUGUACAUGUUUCUUUGUUUUAAUGUCUGGCAGUUAUCCUGGGCAGAUGGAGGAGCAGUGAGGUUAUUUCGGUGUAAUGUAAAAUCCAGUUCUUCACAACGAGUUCUGAUGUGUUUGAAUUGUGUGGACUGGUGUCUCCCUCUGAUUCAGUGGAGAAAACAGAAGAGUGGUGCUUUUUCAGGUUACCCCAGUGUCUUGUUUAAGUGUAUAAAUACCUUGAGUUUUAGCAGUGUGAUUUCUUAUGUGACAACAGCUUGCUUUCUUCUCAAAGCAUUACUGCUUUACAGACCUUUACUUUUUUUCUUUUUUUUAACUUUUAGGGAAGGGAGCUUGCAAGGAGUUAAAUGUGAGGCUGUUUUUUGUAAAGAGUACAUUAAGAGAACAAAUAAUUUGAAAAAGUCUGGGUUUUUUUCCUUCUGUGUCCUAACCUGUUUUUUUCCUUCUCUAGUUCUUUAAACGAAUAACUUACUUGCAUUCUCUAUAUGUAAAGUAAAUCCUUCCAAGCUAAACCUUCUUCCUGCUGUGGGAAAAGUCUGUUAAUUUGGCAUUUGUCUUAAAAAUGAAAUAACGUAAGUAAUCCAAUAAUUAGGUGUGUUGCCCUUUGGGCUUUGUUGCGGGAGGGAGUGUGUCUUAACUUCUCUGAAGGCUAUACGUGUAAGAACACGUGUUUAGCCACAUAAUGUGGCUGCAUGAUUUAAUGUGAGUGGUUCAGAUUCCUGUUGGCCUAAACACCUGCAUCCGAAAUGGUUCUUGUCAUGAAAUAACAGCCAUUUAGUUUUCUGCUCUCCAGCUCCCAAGGAUUAACACGUUUUCAUGGACACCUCAGUUCUUUUUGAUGUGAAAUGCAGAUUUUCAGACCAAGACCUUAUCUUUCCAUUGCCAAUACUGAAGUUUCAGGAAACAGCAAGUAUAAAACUUUCAUACAGUUGUAGCAGCUAUACUAUAGGUAGGACCAGUAGUACAACCAGCUGCUUCUUUCUUGCUUGCCUGAAAAAGAAAACUUCUAGAAUUGAGGGAGACCAAAUAUAUUAGGUGUUGCAGUAGUUUUCCUGUGAUGAAAGCCCUUCCAUUAGAAGUCUUGUAUUUCUGAUGUUUUGGGGUGAGUACAGGGCAAAAAGAGGUUGGGUGCUGAACCAGACUGGUUUCAGGAUGGAGAAGCUUGCUUAAAGUGGAAAGAAUGUUUUCCUUGCAGCAUCUAGUGGAUUUGAGGAGGAACCAAGCCAGUACUGAACACAGGUCAUGAAUGGUUACAGUGUGGCUGUGUAAUGCCUUCCCAGAACUCAUGAGUUCCUUGGAAAUGUACCCAGGCCACUGGUGGCAUUUUGUCAAACAGUAUGUGAAAAGAUCCACAGGCUGGUGGGUCCCAGGUUUUAACAGUACUCCUGAGAGUGAAUGAUUUCAUUUAUUAUGCUAUCUACUUCCUAAAUGCAGUGGGCUUAAGUGGAUUUGCUUCUAUUUGCUCAGAAAAGAGUUUCCAAGUAUCAGAUUGAUGAUACGGAGUGUUCCCUAUAGCUCCUUUGCAUGCCCAUGUUGGUUUUGCCUUUUUCAGUGCAGUUUCAUAGCCUGCUUCUCAGCUGCUAAGCCAGGACAGAGGAAAAGCCAUUUCCCCACCCCAGGCUGCUGCUGGUUCCUGGGACUUCCUCAUGCUGGCUGAUUUAAGACCCACUUGCAUGCCUUGGGAGCAUCCACACCCUGAUGGCAGCACCUUGGGGCUUCCUCUGGAUCAAAUCCAACCUGCCCUCUGCUAGGUUUCCAACAAUGCUUCCAAAUGGCUAACCUUUGCUUUUGGCUCUGCCUCCUGCGUGAAGGGCAGCCAGUGUGACAGUGAAUGAAUGGAAAGGUUCUGGAAGUGCUAUGAAAAGAGGAGUCCUUCCUCCCUGCUCUCUCUGGUAUCAUGCAGACUAGCAGUUAUCAAGAGGUGCCAUCUGAGAUUCAUGAUGAAGAGGCUAAAAUGGAAAUGGAAUUUGCUUGAAUUCCUGGACCCUGAGCCGGGUUCAUGGCAACCCUUUGAACCCAUUACGGAGUCUGGAAACUGUGAACUGGGUCUGUUUUUACUAAAAAUGAAUUACCAGACUUAAUUUAUGGUCAAACAGAAGUUUUCAAAUUGUUUUUCAGUUUUGGUCCAGAAAAUCCAAGAGUCCUAUGUCAUAUGGAAGAAACCCAGAGCACAGAAACAUUGUAUGCAGUUGUUAGCAAAUGUUAUUAAGAAAAAUGAAAUCCUAUGCCUUUAUUUCAGCUAUCGGAUGAAGAUUGAGCAAAGGUGCUCUGGGAAGCCUGCUGGCAAGUAAGUGGCAUUCCAAUCUCAGACAAGAUACUAACAUAUUAGGCCACUUUCUUGGCUGCAGGUUAUUAUAUGACUUUACUGGAAGAAAUUAUUGCAAAAAGGAUCUGAAAAUCUGCAAAGCAGUAAUUCUAAGUAGCGCUUUGGUAAUGAUGUCAUUUAAACAAAAAGUAAUAUGAAGCAUUGGGCAAUGACCUUCUUUGGAUCAAGAGCAACGCGAGGCCGCUAGCCAAAAUGCAGGAGAAGCUGCACGGUAUAAUAAAAGUGUUGUGGAAAGUCCAAAGCAUGUAAGGUCAAGGUCAAGUACAAAAAGACCGUAUUAGAAUGACCCUGAGGAGUGGCAGAAUAAACAACGCAGUAUUUUCUACGACUGUGAAGAUGUAGGAGGAGAUGGAGUGGAGAAGCCAUUUGUAAUUCUAGUCGUAUACUGUGUACAUUUACGAUUGGUCUGUCAGCUCUUCAAAUAAGAAACCAAAUCAUGGGCUAGCUGGAGCACUGGAAGAAUGUGAAUGAUUGCUGUGAUUUCACACCGAUCUUAAACUAUUUGUUCUUUUGGAACUUAAAUCCAGUUCUAACAUGCAUCUACCUCCUCUCUACUGAGGAAGCAGAAAAGCUGAAGUGAAACAAGGGACGUUAUUCUUGAUGGAUAUGAGGAAACAUCAGGAAUACCACGUAAAAACUGUGUUAUUGUAGGUUUCUUAACGGAAUGACCCAUUAUGGAACUACACGUGGUCUGUAUUGAAGGAUCAAACUAAGGUAUGGCGAUUAACCCUUUGCUGUUAUGUUUGUGUAGCUUUAACUCUGUUCAUCUGUGAAUAGCUGGAGGCCUGAUCAGCUUAGGAGGCUCCACAUGCCUCACCCUCUUCUCCCUCUUUGUAUCACUCGUUCUGUGUUCCGCUAGAAGCCACCACAAACCUCAUCUGAAAGAAACAAAAAGGGAGGGGGCACCUGCAGGAAUAAAUGGCAAAAGCUCCUAUUUUAUAGCGAGGUUUAGAAGUGCAACUCGGAUCUUCUUAGAACAGUUUCUCUUCCCGCUGUGUUAGGAGUAACUCCCAGAUGCGACUUGAAGCCAGCAAAUGAUCUCAGGCAGUGAGAUCAGAUUUUGCUGAGUAUACGGGGUUAGACAUGUUCAUUGCUCUCCUUCCAGAAGAUCUCCUAUCCAAACCAUGCAUUGACAUUUGAUUUCCUUGGGAACAUUGGCCCUCACAGUAGCCUUUACAGCAUUUGUGUAUAGAAACCCACAGUUACAACGUUGUCUCUUGCCUUCCAGUUGAAAAUUGCUUUUGUGAUGGCUAUUUAUUCACCUGAGGCGUGGGGUUCCUGGAAUUGUGUGUGCUUUCCUGGAAGAAGUGUUGAACAGUGUAAUGGUUUGUGCAGAAAGCAUUCAAAGACUGAAGCAAUGUCAAGGAGAGACAAGGCAGCUGGACUUUAGGGAGAGCUCUCGGAUUCCACUCUCAUGAUAGAUUCUCGUUUUUCUAUAUGGAUAAAGAAGCCACUUUAGAGUACAGCCUUGACAAUCUGCUGGUUCUUCUUAUCUCUCUAUUCUUCGUGCCCUUCACGGAUCUCACAUUCACCUUGAUUCCUUGACAACUGAAGAAAGCACUUACGCCUACCUGGAGACUUUUCACUGUAAUUCAUAAAGGCUAUUUUUCCACACUGCUCUUGUGUAAGAAAAGGUCAGAUUUCUGCGUGCAAGCAUUAAACUAUUCAUACUAGAACUGAACUGAAGUGUGUAGCCUCCUGAGACAAGGAGUGUUACAUUUCGUGAUCAGCUUCUUUUGUCCCUUUCUCUGAACCAUCCGCUAUUUUGAAGAAUUGACUUUGGAGGAAGCAAUGCUCAGGCUUCUGACCUGAUGCUUUCAGCAUCCCUACAGUCAGUGAAGAUGAAAGGGGUGCCAUAACAGUGGUCUUUUAAUCACUGGUGUCCUGAAAAGACCUGAUUGCUUGAGACUUGAAGUUAAGAGACAUAAACCAGAUUUCAGCAAGCUGUAACUCUUCAAGCAAGUCACAGAGCAUGACCUUGAAUGGAUUAUUGCAUCUUGCACUGAAUGAAGCAUAUGGAGAGGAGAUUUCUGAAGAUAGAAGUUUGUUUUGGCUGGAAACGCUCAGCAGAAAGGUAGGACAAGACUAAUGAUUCUGCUCACUGCUGGGCAUCAAACUUCACUGUCCAGUCCUUUCCACAAUGUCUGUCUUCACAAUUUGCAAAUGUUCAUCCACGGCAUUCAAAAUAAGUAGAUGCUGAGAAGUUCUAAUGUACUGGGCUUAUUACUGAUCUACGCAUGAGUGAAAUAGAAAUGAGCACUGAGUGAAUGUGUCAGCUUGGUUCAACUUCAUUUGUAAUCUCAUGGUACACCAGAACAGAGAAUGUAUCUUCCAUGACAUUGACAGUUUUAUUCAUGGUGGCAUUUAAUAAAAUUAUGGCUGAUUUAGUUCAGACUUCAAGACUUAGACCUAACAGUUGACAGUCUGCAAUGUCUACGACCAUCUUUUUAUCUCCACCUUUCUGUAGUAGAUGUAUGAAAGCUGGAAACCUAGCUACACCACCAGGCUCAUGUAAAACUACUGAAUUGAAAUGCACGUCUUCUAAUAUAUAAUGCUCCUUUAAAGAAGGUACUGAUCUGCUCUGUGUGUGCACAGCAAGAAAAACAGUGGGCCUAAAGAGCAUCCCUUGGAAACAUUUUCUAGCAGUGGGAAUAUGAGGCAUUGGAAGGUUUCCUGAGCUGGUUGUGGAGCUUCCAUCAUUGGAGGCAUUUAAGAACAGGGCAGAGAGAUCUGGCUCAAGAAUGCCACAGGUACUAUUGAUCCCAUUACAGAGAGAAAGUGGAAAAUAUUAUUUUAAAAUCCUUACUGGUUAUCUUCUAGAAUAAUUUUGUUUCUUAUGGCCAUAAAUAUAUAAGAACCACUGUAAAACACUUAGCAUACUAUUUUGGAGACUGGAGGUGUUUUUCACUUAUUUUUAGAACUUGACCUUAAGACUGAAAAAUAACUUUUUCCUUCUGACUUUUGUUCUUCGCCUGGCAAACAUUAGUUAAAAACACAGAGAUGGAAAAUAUUUAAACUUUUAACUAGCAUGAGUUUUUCUUUUUGUUGUUUGUUUGUGUGCUAGUUUCAUUUGUGAUGUCAACUCCAGUCAGGGGAAAAAGGUGUAACUAACCUGGCACUGCACAGAGUGCAAAAAUACUGUUAUGUCGAAGCCCAAAUAAACACUAUCUACUG